rnacentral:rRNA from 1 species
CCUACGGGUGGCAGCAGUGAGGAAUAUUGGUCAAUGGGCUUACGCCUGAACCAGCCAAGUCGCGUGAGGGAAGACUGCCCUAUGGGUUGUAAACCUCUUUUGUCAGGGAGCAACGCCGGCUACGUGUAGCCUGACUGAGAGUACCUGCAGAAAAAGCAUCGGCUAACUCCGUGCCAGCAGCCGCGGUAAUACGGAGGAUGCGAGCGUUAUCCGGAUUGACUGGGUGUAAAGAGUUGCGUAGGUGGCAUAGUAAGUAGCUAGUGAAAUCUGGUGGCUCAACCAUUCAGACUAUUAGCUAAACUGCUAAGCUCGAGACCGUUAGGGGUAACUGGAAUUUCUAGUGUAGGAGUGAAAUCCGUAGAUAUUAGAAGGAACACCGAUAGCGUAGGCAGGUUACUGGGACGGUUCUGACACUAAGGCACGAAAGCGUAGGGAGCAAACGGGAUUAGAUACCCUGGUAGUC